rnacentral:rRNA from 1 species
AGAGUUUGAUCCUGGCUCAGGACGAACGCUGGCGGCGUGCCUAACACAUGCAAGUCAGGGAGAUAGGGGUAGCAAUAUCCUGUGUAAACCGGCGAACGGGUGAGUAACACGUAGGCAACUUACCUUAUGAACGGGAAUAACUCCGCGAAAGCGGAGCUAAUACCCGAUAACAUCCUUUUAUGGCAUUAUGAGAGGAUCAAAGGCCCGUAAGGGCGUCAUAAGAUGGGCCUGCGUCCCAUUAGAUAGUUGGCGGGGUAAUGGCCCACCAAGUCGACGAUGGGUAGCUGGUCUGAGAGGACGACCAGCCACACUGGAACUGAGACACGGUCCAGACUUCUACGGAAGGCAGCAGUGAGGAAUAUUGCUCAAUGGGCGAAAGCCUGAAGCAGCGACGCCGCGUGAGGGAUGAAAUCCGUUAGGAUGUAAACCUCUUUUACAGGGGAUGAAUGUUCCGAUUAUCGGAAUUGACCGUACCCUGGAAUAGACCGCC